rnacentral:lncRNA from 1 species
CGUCUGUGGGGAACUGGGGCGCUGGUCGGUGCGCGGGCUGGGACGCUAAGUCAUGAGGAAUUAAACUGGGAAACCUGGCGUGGGUCCAGGCGCCUUCCAGGAGGCAUCCGGCGCGGCCCGGACGUGCUUCUACCCAGAACCACCCCCUCCAGGCCGGGGUGCACUUAACGGGGCUAUACAAAGAGUCUGGUGGGUGACUGUGGGCCUCAUCCCUAUCCCGGGGUCUGAUAGGGAAGACUCUCGGGCCCCGCAGGGAAUAUCUGGCUAGUGCACCCUCGGCGGGAGCGCCACUCUCCCUCCUUGGGCGGCGCCCCCCACCUCUCAUCCCGCCCAAUCCGUUUUGCAAAGUCGGCCAAAACAAAAACAAACUUGGAGCGCUGAUAGACACUGUUAUUGCCCAUCUGAACUCGUCAACUGAGAAGGAAAGAGAUGGUUUAUGCUGUGAAUAAAAUACAGUUGUGCUGUGAUGUAAAUCCCCUCAUCCUGGAGCAGCUGAGCAAGGUCUAAGGCAGGAAGAACCUUCAAGCAGGUCAUGGCUGUAAGCCUCCUGAGUUUAUCCCAGCAAGUUGUAUAAGGGAUUAUCUUUUUAUCUGCAUAUUAUGACAUAUGUGAGGAUGUGUAAAGGUUUGGCAAGCACUGGCCUACUCAACAGCCAGUCCUACCUAACUUCAGAAAUCUUUCUUGUGGGCAAAUGUCAGGAGAUAGGGCCCAGGCCCAGGUCCAGCUACAAAGAAUGAAUACAAUUAAAGUGCUACUUCCAUUCACCUCACCCC